AAAAAAGUUCCGUGCGUUUCCAGCAAAAAGGAGGGGGCAACUUCCCUGACACAGACACUGUCCGUUUGGAAGCACUUCGGAAGGAAAAAGCGUUGGUGUGAGAGUUCGUGGCACCUGUUCGGCAUUGAGAGUACGAUCCAGGUUCCAGUUCUACACCCCGUGGCUGAUACGCGAGGGUGACAUCUUUCAGUCAUUCAGGGUGAGCUACUUGGUCAUCCGUGGCCCCUGAAGGACCUCCUCUAUUUAUUUCUGUUUUUCUAUUCGACAGACAAUAUGUAGCCUUCGGGUAUUUUCAGACUUAUAUUCCGUACUAUGUUAGCGCUCUUGUACCUUUUGACCAGAUUUUGGGGUCGUCAUGACA